CCCCUCCUGUCCGCACCUGAAGCAUGCUGUUGUCCCAAUCAAACAGACUCCCUUGUGCUGCCUACCGCACCGUAUACAUCUGGAGUUACCCGAACCAGAGCUCGAACCAUCACCUAAACCCAGACCAGACUUUAUCUGUUCCCAAAACUUGCUCUUCUUCGAUCUUCUGAGGCCUCUGCCUCCCUUCUUACUCUUUGGGACAGCCUCGCUUAGAGGGGAGAGAUCAACAUCACUUGUCCCCGGGAUUUUGGAACCCGAAGACUGUGCCACGUACUGUUUAACUGUCCCCUGGACAAUGGCACUAGCCUCCAUUCUCCGUGCCAUAUCCACUAUAGCAUGGAAGCUCUCCCUUUCUGCUGAUUGAACCAACGAGGA
rnacentral:lncRNA from 1 species